rnacentral:misc_RNA from 1 species
GGAAUCUUGAGUAAAGUUCCGAUUAGAAAGAUUAGGGGCAAAAAAUUAGUUGAAUAGAUGUUGGGCUCCUUAUCUUCCUCGAUACCUCUAUUGCCAUAAAAGGAUAAAUACAUGAAAUUCUGUCAAUGGUGGCAUAUAAAUGUGCAAGCAUGGUAAGAUGGAAAAAAUAAGUGUCAUUGCUGCAUCUCAGUAGCAGGGAAACUCUCAACCAAAAAAAAGGAAACAUUCAUAACCUAGUCGAUUAAACAAUAAAACGGUCACGAAGACCAUAAUAGGAUAUCAAAUAAGAAACUAAU